UUGUAAUGAUGAUAUUCCACUUCAUGGUCCGUGUUUCUGAAACAAUGUGAUUUUGUGGAAGUUCUGAAACU
ensembl:snoRNA SNORD18 Small nucleolar RNA SNORD18